AUUGUUUUUUCACUUGAACUGGGAUGAAAAGUCAGCCAUGGCCUCCGGUGACAAUUUUCCAAAAGCUCCCUUUGCAUGUGCAAACAAGAGAAGCAAGCAAUUCCUGUCUCCCUCUAGAGUGUCAGCUCCAGGAGACAUUACUAUCUGCUCACUGUUGAAUGUCUGGCAUCCAGCACAGUGCCCAGCACCAAGCAGGGAUCCAUCUGGUCAACUGGCUGGACAAUUGGGACCUGCUGUCCAAGAAGACUAUGCAGCUCGCAUCCUGGCUGACCUGAGAUGGACGCAAGAUUCCAUGAGUCCAUCUCCAAGCUCAACAGAACAGAGGAUGCUGGGACCCCACCUGGACUCGCUCUUCCCUCCAUGCCCUCUUCUUAAUCCCUAUGCAUCGUUCAGGGCUGGUUCAGGCCUUGCUUCUUCCAGGAAGCCCACAGGGCCUUCUCUCUCCUGUGACCUGAGUGUGGAGCUCUACACCAAGGUCAUAUGUAUACAGCCUCAUACCAAGGCCACAGGAGAAAAGCCUCCAGAACUGAUCGAGCCCCAUAGCAACUGUUGCCAUGAGCCCCCAUCCUCUGACCUAAACUGGUCAUUUUCUGACUCUCAUAUUAAUAUGGUAAAAUAUCCACCCUAUAACAUCCUAACCAAUCACCUAAUGCCACCCUUCCAGUAGGAAUUUUCUUUGUCGUAAGGCUAUAAAAAUUGGCUACUAGUUCACGAAAGGGAUCAGCUCUUCCUUGAGCCAGAUCUCUGUUCUAACAGUGUCUCUUGCUCUAAUAAACUCUAUUCUCCUCUCA